GUUUCCUUUGACACUGACUGUUUUGGGAGAGACUAGGCAAGAUGCUCUGCCCAAGUCUUACAUUGAACUUUGUCUUAAAUGUGUUGAUUUUUUUUUCCCCAGAGCAGUGAUAGUGACUGUCUGGUGAUAUCUCCUGUGUAAGAGCUGCGAUAGGAGGAAAUACUGAGGAGAGAAGAGAAGCAAGACCCAGGAGAGGAGCAGCGUACUGUGUGCAGGUCACGGAUGCUAACAGGGAGAAAGGUUCAGAAGCUGCCCCUCUAAUCAGUUACCAUCUGAGCACUGCAGACACAGAAACUGAGGCACGCAGGAACUGAACAACUUGCCCAAGGCUACAGGAAGUCUGUGGGAGAUCUGGGAAUAGACCCCAGAUGUCCUGAGCUCUAUCUUAACCACAAGAGCAUCCUUCCUGUCUUUUUGGUAGUCCCCUCUGCUUCAGGAACUCCAUUUAUGUAUUGCACCCAUCAACAGCCUGUUGCCUGAUCCAGUGAUUUACUCGCAUAAAAGUGUCAUUUGGAAGGAAAAAAAAACCCAGACACCUUCUAAAAUGAGCUGCAGCUAUUGCUGUCCCUUCUUCCUAAAGAGUAAAGGAGAAGGAGUGCAAACAAACCCAGCAUCCACAACUAAGAGCCUUUUCCAUUACUAAGCAGACUUUGUGCAAACAAUAAUUUUACACUUGAAGAGAACUGGGAUCUCUAUACGUGAUGUUUGAGUCUGUCUGCGUGUUUAUAUUUCAGUGAGCUUAAAACAAAGACUGAAACAGAAUUAAAUCCACCUAGGGCAUGAAUCUGGUGCUGUUCGCUGUUCUGAGUACCUGUGAUGGCAGUCCACUUGGAUGCCACGUCCUGACAGCUCAGGGCUAUUGCUGCUUGUCCCUUCUCCUCGUCAGAACUGGCUGAAUGAUGGGAAGGGCUUUCUUCUCUAUAAAGCGUGCCUCCUGGCUUGGAAAUGAUGGCAUGAAUGGAAUGUCAUAGACAUGUAUAUCGCCUUUAAUGAGCAUCGUUUCUGCGGAACAUUACUGAAAACGAUUCCUACCUAAAGCCUUUUGAUGCUGGUGUUACUUGGUGAAGGAUACACCGAGCGCUGCGUUCUGCUGGCACUGUACCCUCCUUAGCAUCACCAGUCACCAAGGACUGAGCGCUCUGUAUCGUUAGGUUUUAUCUUCAGACCUUGGCAUUGUGGUAAUAUCUAAGAAUUCCGGUCAUGAAUCGUAAAUCUGUGCGCGAUCACUGUGCAAACACCAACCUCGAGCUCUCUAGAGUUGGGAUGUGAAGGCACAGCUGAUGGCUUGAAGCAGUGUGCGUGGUUCCUCCCCUCUCCAUGCUGCCCUGCAGUCCUUGAGGCCUGGCACUAGGGUGCUGAGCUCGGUGCUGGGACGCCUCUUUCCCUUGGAAUGGGACUUCAGAGCACAGAAAUACCAAUAGCGUCUGAGCUCAGUGCGGUCCCUGCCCUGCUGCAUUGACCCUGGCUCAACCUCAGCCUGUUUGGUUUGGUGAGGUUUUCUGUUUGCUCUUGUAUCUGUUUGGAAAACUGUGGAUUUGCUUCACCUUUCUUAUUUUACCGGGGUUUAUCUUCAUUAUGCCACGGUGGUAAGACCAACUGCUCAAUCUCUGUGUCGCUCAGCGUGGCAAGGUGCUAUGAGCGGUGCUUCAAGUAGCUCCUGCAAAGCAAAUACUAUCUUGUGUGUAUGUGGGACUGCUUUCCGGCCUUUUUUUUCCCCGGAGAUUCGUUGAUAACACAGCUACGCUUUCGGACUUGUGUUUUACAUCCGUAUUUCAGCGCUGGACGAAACGCUUCAACCGUUUUUCUUGCGCGGGCCGUGGUAGAGAGGACGAGCGGCCGCUCCGCGCUGAGGUCGGGCUGUGGGCGGCCAACCCGCGCGGUGCCGCGGCCUGCCACCAGGGGGCGCCGUUCCCUGCGCGGAGCCGCGGGUUCGGCCCGGCCUCGGC